rnacentral:rRNA from 1 species
UACGAAGGGGGCUAGCGUUGCUCGGAAUCACUGGGCGUGAAGCGCACGUAGGCGGCUUCUUAAGUCAGGGGUGAAAUCCUGGAGCUCAACUCCAGAACUGCCUUUGAUACUGAGAGGCUCGAGUCCGGGAGAGGUGAGUGGAACUCCGAGUGUAGAGGUGAAAUUCGUAGAUAUUCGGAAGAACACCAGUGGCGAAGGCGGCUCACUGGCCCGGUACUGACGCUGAGGUGCGAAAGCCAGGGGAGCAAACGGG